rnacentral:rRNA from 1 species
UGUUUCGGCUAGGGGGCCAUCCCGGCUUACCAACCCGAUGCAAACUGCGAAUACCGGAGAAUGUUAUCACGGGAGACACACGGCGGGUGCUAACGUCCGUCGUGAAGAGGGAAACAACCCAGACCGCCAGCUAAGGUCCCAAAGUCAUGGUUAAGUGGGAAACGAUGUGGGAAGGCCCAGACAGCCAGGAUGUUGGCUUAGAAGCAGCCAUCAUUUAAAGAAAGCGUAAUAGCUCACUGGUCGAGUCGGCCUGCGCGGAAGAUGUAACGGGGCUAAACCAUGCACCGAAGCUGCGGCAGCGACGCUUAUGCGUUCGUUGGGUAGGGGAGCGUUCUGUAAGCCUGUGAAGGUGGCCUGUGAGGGUUGCUGGAGGUAUCAGAAGUGCGAAUGCUGACAUAAGUAACGAUAAAGCGGGUGAAAAGCCCGCUCGCCGGAAGACCAAGGGUUCCUGUCCAACGUUAAUCGGGGCAGGGUGAGUCGACCCCUAAGGCGAGGCCGAAAGGCGUAGUCGAUGGGAAACGGGUUAAUAUUCCCGUACUUGGUGUUACUGCGAAGGGGGGACGGAGAAGGCUAUGUUGGCCGGGCGACGGUUGUCCCGGUUUAAGCGUGUAGGUGUGUGUUCCAGGUAAAUCCGGUUCACUUUAACACUGAGGCGUGAUGACGAGGCACUACGGUGCUGAAGCAACAAAUGCCCUGCUUCCAGGAAAAGCCUCUAAGCAUCAGGUAACAUCAAAUCGUACCCCAAACCGACACAGGUGGUCAGGUAGAGAAUACCAAGGCGCUUGAGAGAACUCGGGUGAAGGAACUAGGCAAAAUGGUGCCGUAACUUCGGGAGAAGGCACGCUGACAUGUAGGUGAAGUGAUUUACUCAUGGAGCUGAAGUCAGUCGAAGAUACCAGCUGGCUGCAACUGUUUAUUAAAAACACAGCACUGUGCAAACACGAAAGUGGACGUAUACGGUGUGACGCCUGCCCGGUGCCGGAAGGUUAAUUGAUGGGGUCAGCGCAAGCGAAGCUCCUGAUCGAAGCCCCGGUAAACGGCGGCCGUAACUAUAACGGUCCUAAGGUAGCGAAAUUCCUUGUCGGGUAAGUUCCGACCUGCACGAAUGGCGUAAUGAUGGCCAGGCUGUCUCCACCCGAGACUCAGUGAAAUUGAACUCGCUGUGAAGAUGCAGUGUACCCGCGGCAAGACGGAAAGACCCCGUGAACCUUUACUAUAGCUUGACACUGAACAUUGAGCCUUGAUGUGUAG